rnacentral:rRNA from 1 species
AUACGUAGGGUGCGAGCGUUGUCCGGAAUUACUGGGCGUAAAGAGCUCGUAGGUGGUUUGUCGCGUCGUCUGUGAAAUUCCGGGGCUUAACUCCGGGCGUGCAGGCGAUACGGGCAUAACUUGAGUACUGUAGGGGAGACUGGAAUUCCUGGUGUAGCGGUGAAAUGCGCAGAUAUCAGGAGGAACACCGGUGGCGAAGGCGGGGCUCUGGGCAGUAACUAACGCUGAGGAGCGAAAGCAUGGGUAGCGAACAGGAUUAGAUACCCUGGUAGUCCAUGCCGUAAACGGUGGGCGCUAGGUGUAGGGGUCUUCCACGACUUCUGUGCCGUAGCUAACGCAUUAAGCGCCCGCCUGGGGAGUACGGUCGCAAGGCUAAAACUCAAAGGAAUUGACGGGG